rnacentral:rRNA from 1 species
AUUGAACGCUGGCGGCCGGCCUAACACAUGCAAGUCGAGCGAGAGGCGGACGGGAGAGUAAUGUAUGGGGAUCUGCAUGAUGGCGGGGGAUAACUACUGGCAACGGUAGCGAAUACUGCAUACCAUCAGAUGAACCCAUAUGGGAUUAGCUAGUCGGUAAGGUACCGGCUUACCUAGGCGACGAUCCCUAGAUGGUCUGAGAGGAUGAUCAGCCACCCUGGGACUGGUACACGGCCCAGACUCCUACGGGAGGCAGCAGUGGGGAAUAUUGGACAAUGGGCGCAAGCCUGAUGCAGCCAUGCCGCGUGUAUGAAGAAGGCCUUCGGGUUGUAAAGUACUUUCAGUCGGGAGGCGUUACCGACAGAAGAAGCACCGGCUAACUCCGUGCCAGCCGCCGCGGUAAUUC